ACAUUGGUGUAGUUUAAUAGGUGGUCUCAUACAUUGAAUCUUGAGAUGACUCAAGAGACAAUCUGUACAAUAGGUUGUCUUAUAAGUUGUGUGGUAGAGCUAUAUAAUUUCUUAAUUUGUGUAUAUAAAAAAAAUGUGAUGAGUUGCAUGACAACGACAACUCGUACAAUGGUUGCUGAGUUGUUUCGUAGUCCUAAAAAUUUAGCUCAUGAGGUGGUUGUUUUAUGAAACAACCUCUUUAUCUCUCCUCCACAUCAUUAAAAAUCCUACGUGGCACUAGAGACGACCUAUGAGACUGAUGACGUGUAGCAAUGUACUUGCCCUAGACCCCUCCAACACUG
rnacentral:lncRNA from 1 species